UUUAUGAUGAUAAUUCUAUAGAAGAUUUUGAUUUCAUAUCAAAUGUUUUUGUAUCCUCUAAGAAGUUCUGAAUAUUUAU
rnacentral:snoRNA from 1 species